AUUGAACGCUGGCGGCAGGCCUAACACAUGCAAGUCGAGCGGCAGCGGAAAGUAGCUUGCUACUUUGCCGGCGAGCGGCGGACGGGUGAGUAAUGUCUGGGAAACUGCCUGAUGGAGGGGGAUAACUACUGGAAACGGUAGCUAAUACCGCAUGACCUCGAAAGAGCAAAGUGGGGGAUCUUCGGACCUCACGCCAUCGGAUGUGCCCAGAUGGGAUUAGCUAGUAGGUGAGGUAAUGGCUCACCUAGGCGACGAUCCCUAGCUGGUCUGAGAGGAUGACCAGCCACACUGGAACUGAGACACGGCCCAGACUCCUACGGGAGGCAGCAGUGGGGAAUAUUGCACAAUGGGCGCAAGCCUGAUGCAGCCAUGCCGCGUGUGUGAAGAAGGCCUUAGGGUUGUAAAGCACUUUCAGCGAGGAGGAAGGCAUCAUACUUAAUACGUGUGGUGAUUGACGUUACUCGCAGAAGAAGCACCGGCUAACUCCGUGCCAGCAGCCGCGGUAAUACGGAGGGUGCAAGCGUUAAUCGGAAUUACUGGGCGUAAAGCGCACGCAGGCGGUUUGUUAAGUCAGAUGUGGAAUCCCCGCGCUUAACGUGGGAACUGCAUUUGAAACUGGCAAGCUAGAGUCUUGUAGAGGGGGGUAGAAUUCCAGGUGUAGCGGUGAAAUGCGUAGAGAUCUGGAGGAAUACCGGUGGCGAAGGCGGCCCCCUGGACAAAGACUGACGCUCAGGUGCGAAAGCGUGGGGAGCAAACAGG
rnacentral:rRNA from 1 species